AGGACCCCGAGGAAAAGGACUCAACCGAGAUCCCCAAAGUAGCGGCGAGCGAACGGGGAGGAACCCAGAGCCGAAAUCAGUGGGGGUUUGAGUGGAGUGGUCUGGAAAGGCGCGCGAUACAGGGUGACAGCCCCGUACACAAAAAUGCACAUACUGUGAGCUCGAUGAGUAGGGCGGGACACGUGGUAUCCUGUCUGAAUAUGGGGGGACCAUCCUCCAAGGCUAAAUACUCCUGACUGACCGAUAGUGAACCAGUACCGUGAGGGAAAGGCGAAAAGAACCCCGGCGAGGGGAGUGAAAAAGAACCUGAAACCGUGUACGUACAAGCAGUGGGAGCCUCUUAAUGGGGUGACUGCGUACCUUUUGUAUAAUGGGUCAGCGACUUAUAUUCUGUAGCAAGGUUAACCGAAUAGGGGAGCCGAAGGGAAACCGAGUCUUAACUGGGCGUUAAGUUGCAGGGUAUAGACCCGAAACCCGGUGAUCUAGCCAUGGGCAGGUUGAAGGUUGGGUAACACUAACUGGAGGACCGAACCGACUAAUGUUGAAAAAUUAGCGGAUGACUUGUGGCUGGGGGUGAAAGGCCAAUCAAACCGGGAGAUAGCUGGUUCUCCCCGAAAGCUAUUUAGGUAGCGCCUCGUGAAUUCAUCUCCGGGGGUAGAGCACUGUUUCGGCAAGGGGGUCAUCCCGACUUACCAACCCGAUGCAAACUGCGAAUACCGGAGAAUGUUAUCACGGGAGACACACGGCGGGUGCUAACGUCCGUCGUGAAGAGGGAAACAACCCAGACCGCCAGCUAAGGUCCCAAAGUCAUGGUUAAGUGGGAAACGAUGUGGGAAGGCCCAGACAGCCAGGAUGUUGGCUUAGAAGCAGCCAUCAUUUAAAGAAAGCGUAAUAGCUCACUGGUCGAGUCGGCCUGCGCGGAAGAUGUAACGGGGCUAAACCAUGCACCGAAGCUGCGGCAGCGACACUAUGUGUUGUUGGGUAGGGGAGCGUUCUGUAAGCCUGUGAAGGUGUACUGUGAGGUAUGCUGGAGGUAUCAGAAGUGCGAAUGCUGACAUAAGUAACGAUAAAGCGGGUGAAAAGCCCGCUCGCCGGAAGACCAAGGGUUCCUGUCCAACGUUAAUCGGGGCAGGGUGAGUCGACCCCUAAGGCGAGGCCGAAAGGCGUAGUCGAUGGGAAACAGGUUAAUAUUCCUGUACUUGGUGUUACUGCGAAGGGGGGACGGAGAAGGCUAUGUUGGCCGGGCGACGGUUGUCCCGGUUUAAGCGUGUAGGCUGGUUUUCCAGGCAAAUCCGGAAAAUCAAGGCUGAGGCGUGAUGACGAGGCACUACGGUGCUGAAGCAACAAAUGCCCUGCUUCCAGGAAAAGCCUCUAAGCAUCAGGUAACAUCAAAUCGUACCCCAAACCGACACAGGUGGUCAGGUAGAGAAUACCAAGGCGCUUGAGAGAACUCGGGUGAAGGAACUAGGCAAAAUGGUGCCGUAACUUCGGGAGAAGGCACGCUGAUAUGUAGGUGAAGUCCCUUGCGGAUGGAGCUGAAAUCAGUCGAAGAUACCAGCUGGCUGCAACUGUUUAUUAAAAACACAGCACUGUGCAAACACGAAAGUGGACGUAUACGGUGUGACGCCUGCCCGGUGCCGGAAGGUUAAUUGAUGGGGUUAGCGGUAACGCGAAGCUCUUGAUCGAAGCCCCGGUAAACGGCGGCCGUAACUAUAACGGUCCUAAGGUAGCGAAAUUCCUUGUCGGGUAAGUUCCGACCUGCACGAAUGGCGUAAUGAUGGCCAGGCUGUCUCCACCCGAGACUCAGUGAAAUUGAACUCGCUGUGAAGAUGCAGUGUACCCGCGGCAAGACGGAAAGACCCCGUGAACCUUUACUAUAGCUUGACACUGAACAUUGAGCCUUGAUGUGUAGGAUAGGUGGGAGGCUUUGAAGUGUGGACGCCAGUCUGCAUGGAGCCGGCCUUGAAAUACCACCCUUUAAUGUUUGAUGUUCUAACGUUGGCCCCUGAUCGGGGUUGCGGACAGUGUCUGGUGGGUAGUUUGACUGGGGCGGUCUCCUCCUAAAGAGUAACGGAGGAGCACGAAGGUUGGCUAAUCCUGGUCGGACAUCAGGAGGUUAGUGCAAUGGCAUAAGCCAGCUUGACUGCGAGCGUGACGGCGCGAGCAGGUGCGAAAGCAGGUCAUAGUGAUCCGGUGGUUCUGAAUGGAAGGGCCAUCGCUCAACGGAUAAAAGGUACUCCGGGGAUAACAGGCUGAUACCGCCCAAGAGUUCAUAUCGACGGCGGUGUUUGGCACCUCGAUGUCGGCUCAUCACAUCCUGGGGCUGAAGUAGGUCCCAAGGGUAUGGCUGUUCGCCAUUUAAAGUGGUACGCGAGCUGGGUUUAGAACGUCGUGAGACAGUUCGGUCCCUAUCUGCCGUGGGCGCUGGAGAACUGAGGGGGGCUGCUCCUAGUACGAGAGGACCGGAGUGGACGCAUCACUGGUGUUCGGGUUGUCAUGCCAAUGGCACUGCCCGGUAGCUAAAUGCGGAAGAGAUAAGUGCUGAAAGCAUCUAAGCACGAAACUUGCCCCGAGAUGAGUUCUCCCUGACUCCUUGAGAGUCCUGAAGGAACGUUGAAGACGACGACGUUGAUAGGCCGGGUGUGUAAGCGCAGCGAUGCGUUGAGCUAACCGGUACUAAUGAACCGUGAGGCUUAACCUU
rnacentral:rRNA from 1 species